UGGCUGCUUGACAUAUUCCUGGAAGAGGUCACCAACUAGCUAACACAUUCAAUGACAGAUGUCUCUUUGAAUUGAUAAAAUCAUAAUCAAAUGGAUAUAAUACAGAAGUUUCAAAGAUUUGUUUUGAUGUAGCCUGAAGAUUUUGUAAUGAAUGAUCCAGGAUCCAAAAGUUCUUCACGGAGUUCAAAGACAGUAGCAAUGUGGUUGCUAAUUUAGUGACAGAUUAAGAAAGAAGUUCAAACAAGCAUUGUCAUGGGAAAACAUUAAAAAGGAAGAAGUUGGAGGUGGACAAAAAUCAGGAUGAAUAUACUAGAGAAACUAUUAAAGCACAGAAGAAUGACAACAAUAUAAAUCUAAAUGUAAUCAUUCAAGGAAUUAAAUUCAUUUUUAAUCUCGAAACUGUCUUUUUUCUGUAACUCUAAUUUUAGAUUAACAAGUAGCUGGAAAUGCAAAAUGGAUGUUUCCAAAGAUCCACUGAAGUUACUGAGUAAUUAAUUGAAAGGAUUCAAGCAGCAAGAUGAAGUAUAUCAAGAAUGAACUGAAAAAUUAAAAUAUUCAAGUAAUUUAAUUUUAAGCAAUUUACAUGUGAUACGUAUGUAAUUCAUGUGAAAAACGUACGUUGGAUCCACAUACGUAAAACGUAUGGAAUGUUUCACGUAUGUCUAACACACGUGUAACAUACGUUUCACAUAUGUUCAUUAACGUACGUUAAACACACGUGGUACUUAAAUCACGUUAAACGUACGUGAGGUCACAUACGUAUCACACACGUUUAACGUAUGUGAAACGUAUGUGGCACAUUUUGCUGUGUACACAGUUUUCUUUUUCCCGAUUCAAACACAUUUUUCACUAACUCCGAAUCAGUUGGAGGAUGUAAUCCAAUUACGGAAUACGCCCAACGAAUGCCAUAAACAGCCGACGUUAACACACUUACAGAAACUCCUUCUUGAAUUAAACUGGCAAAAGAUGAAUACUAACAAUUAAUGGUUUUCUUGAAGAUCCUUGUUCAAUCACUACAACAUUCUUCUUCAACCAAUCGUCCCAUUUCUUGUAACUUCUAUAAAAACCUUUCACUGUAGAACUUUCUCUACUUUCGGACAAUAAUUCCGGUAUAUCAUGAAUUUUUUCCCGCAAAAUUUCUGGAAGGAUGGAUAUAUCUUCAUCAUAUGCCUGCAAAAAUAUUUGUAUCAACAAAAUUAUUUAUAUAAUAUUGUCUACUUAUAACACAUGCAAUAUUAAAACAUACAUCAUCUUCUACAAUCAAUGUACAAUCCCAGCAAGGGAAAAUUUAAAUCAGUAUUUCCAAACAUUGUCCCAACACUUCUUCCACUCAUAAAAAUUGUUUAUCACUGGG